GAUGAACGCUGGCGGCGCGCCUAACACAUGCAAGUCGAACGAUUAAAGCACCUUCGGGUGUGUAUAAAGUGGCGAACGGCUGAGUAACACGUGGGCAACCUGCCCCUCUCAUUGGGAUAGCCACGGGAAACCGUGGAUAAUACCGAAUACUUCGAGACUUCCGCAUGGAAGACUCGAGAAAGCUCCGGCGGAGAGGGAUGGGCCCGCGGCCUGUUAGCUUGUUGGUGGGGUAACGGCCUACCAAGGCAAUGAUGGGUAGCUGGGUUGAGAGACCGACCAGCCAGAUUGGGACUGAGACACGGCCCAGACUCCUACGGGAGGCAGCAGUGGGGAAUCUUGCACAAUGGGCGAAAGCCUGAUGCAGCGACGCCGCGUGCGGGAUGAAGGCCUUCGGGUUGUAAACCGCUUUCAGCAGGGACGAGGCGAAAGUGACGGUACCUGCAGAAGAAGCCCCGGCUAACUACGUGCCAGCCGCCGCCGUAA
rnacentral:rRNA from 1 species